AUGCUCCUCUUUGCGACCUUCGCGUUUCUUGUAGAUUUAUCCUGGGCUCUUCCAACAGGUUAUGGCACAUAUAUACGUUUGAGGGAAUGUAAGCUGCGAGGAUAUCGAGUCCUGCAGCUGUCCGACCGGUUUCAGCUCAAUGGCAAAGACUAUUUGACUUUAGAUUCAGACAGAGAUUCGUGGACAGCGUUGAUGCCAGAGGCGCAUGAUCUAAAGAAGUCAUGGACGCUUAAGGCCGAGCAUGCGAGUCUAGAGAAAACUCACCUGAAAGAAGAAUGUGAGGAAUUCGUUAAACAGAUAAAUGAUGCACAGAAUCAAGAAGGGCUUGGUGUGUUAAGAGUGAUGGCUCCAGUUCUCGCCACUUUUCUCUUCACUGUAUUUGUCUUUAUGAGCCUCCUUAUCUUCAAGCGACACGGUCAUCACCCAGGAGGUGUUUUAGGCUCAAUUAUCCACUAUCCAGCCCAUCAUCUUGAAGCACCAUUGAACAACAAACAGAGUCAAAAGGACAUCUCUCAAGUUCCAAUGCUGAAGGUUCCCAAUAGCAAUCACCUAACCUGCCCAACCACAUUAUUGUGAAGAUUCAACUCUGUGUCAUAAUUUCAGAAGUCUUAGACUGAUUUGAAAGUUCAGUAAUAAAAUUGUUCAAAAGUAAAUAUCA
ensembl:lncRNA